CACGUAGGGUGCGAGCGUUGUCCGGAAUUAUUGGGCGUAAAGAGCUCGUAGGCGGUGUGUCGCGUCGGCCGUGAAAACCUGUGGCUUAACCAUGUGGUCUGCAGUCGAUACGGGCAGGCUAGAAUUCGGUAGGGGAGACUGGAAUUCCUGGUGUAGCGGUGAAAUGCGCAGAUAUCAGGAGGAACACCGGUGGCGAAGGCGGGUCUCUGGGCCGAUAUUGACGCUGAGGAGCGAAAGCGUGGGGAGCGAACAGG
rnacentral:rRNA from 1 species